GACGAACGCUGGCGGCGUGCUUAACACAUGCAAGUCGAACGGAAAGGCCCUGCUUUUGUGGGGUGCUCGAGUGGCGAACGGGUGAGUAACACGUGAGUAACCUGCCCUUGACUUUGGGAUAACUUCAGGAAACUGGGGCUAAUACCGGAUAGGAGCUCCUGCUGCAUGGUGGGGGUUGGAAAGUUUCGGCGGUUGGGGAUGGACUCGCGGCUUAUCAGCUUGUUGGUGGGGUAGUGGCUUACCAAGGCUUUGACGGGUAGCCGGCCUGAGAGGGUGACCGGCCACAUUGGGACUGAGAUACGGCCCAGACUCCUACGGGAGGCAGCAGUGGGGAAUAUUGCACAAUGGGGGAAGCCUGAUGCAGCAACGCCGCGUACGGGAUGACGGCCUUCGGGUUGUAAACCGCUUUCGCCUGUGACGAAGCGUGAGUGACGGUAAUGGGUAAAGAAGCACCGGCUAACUACGUG
rnacentral:rRNA from 1 species